AGAAUCAACGCUGGCGGCGUGCCUAAUACAUGCAAGUCGAACGCGAAAGCCCCGCAAGGGGCAAGUAGAGUGGCAAACGGGUGAGUAACGCGUGGGCGACCUACCUUCGAGUGGGGGACAACCUUCCGAAAGGAGGGCUAAUACCGCAUGACAUCCCGUGUUUGGAUACACGGACAUCAAAGUCGGGGAUCGCAAGACCUGACGCUUGGAGAGGGGCCCGCGUCCGAUUAGCUAGUUGGUGGGGUAACGGCCCACCAAGGCUUCGAUCGGUA
rnacentral:rRNA from 1 species